rnacentral:lncRNA from 1 species
CAUGCAUAUUUUACUGUUUCUAUUUUAUAUAUUUUUGGUAUCAGAAUUGUUUCAGGACCACAAUAUUUUCUUACUGCCAAGAGAUAUCCAUAUUAAGCAUGUGCUAUUUAUUUAAAUAAUCUACAAAAUGGAACAUAAGCUUAAAAUACUGAGAUUAUUUGUCUAGUUUAAAUGCUAACAAAAGUUUUUUUAAAAAAGACAAUAUAUAGCAAAGGAAAACUAAAUUGGUAUAUUUUAAUUCUACAAAAAUAUAUGAACGUUGAAAGUUAUAGAAAAGGAACAAGUAUACCUUUUAUUAAUGGUUACAGUAUUUGAAAUGUGUAUUUCUUUUGUGUAUUAUUGAAAUUUACAAUUCUUGAUGCACAGCCUACUUUUAUAAAUGUUAAAGAACUGUGUGGUAACCAUAUAUCUAAAACAGUUUUGAAAUUAUUUCUCCUUAGCUCUGGCUACACCUACUGAAAAAGCAAAAGCUCCAAAAAAAUCAUCAAGUCCUUUUUUCCCACUUGUGCUAUUUUUAGCUGAAAGUACAACUGAAACAAAGCUUACAUUCAUUUUUACCCCAAAUUAAAAGCAUGAGGAACAUCUCAUUUUUUAACCAUUAUAGAUAUAGCCUUAGUCAUCUAAUUUCCCAUCCUUUUUCAUACUCAUUAAAAACCUAAUAUUAAGUGAUUCAUUCUACCUAGCCAAAAACAAAAGCAAAAUGGUAACUUUAUAUAAUGAUGAAAUAAAUAUCGUGGAAGUUGUCUUUAUCUUAAAAGACAGUUAACAGAGAAGCUGUCCUGCAUAACUAGUAUUUCAGAAGGAUUUUUUAUAAAACAAAUACAAUUAAAAUUGCCUUUAGAAUUUAUUGAAUAAUAUAAAGGAAAAGUUGGACGCAAAUUUAGACAAACUAUUUAAAACACAUUGCUGGUGUUCAUUCAGUAGCUUAAAUUCAUACCUUAUACCUAGUAGUAGCUUGAACAUAG